rnacentral:misc_RNA from 1 species
GAUGAAGAGCGCAGCGAAAUGCGAUACGUAAUGUGAAUUGCAGAAUUCAGUGAAUCAUCGAAUCUUUGAACGCAUAUUGCGCUCUUUGGUAUUCCGAAGAGCAUGCUUGUUUGAGUAUCAGUAAACACCUCAACCUCUUCUUGAUUUUUCAAAAGGAGGGUGGACUUGAGCUAUCCCAACAACCUUUACCGGUCGGCGGGCGGCUUGAAAUGCAGGUGCAGCUGGACUUUUAUCUGAGCUAAAAGCAUAUCUAUUUAGUCCUCGUCAAACAGGAUUAUUACUUUUGCUGCAGCUAACAUAAAGGAUAAUUGUCCUCUUUGCUGACUGAUGCAGGAUUUUACGACACUUUAUGUGUUGUUCAACUCGAUCUCAAAUCAAGUAAGACUACCCGCUGAACUUAAGCAUAUCAAUAAGCGGAGGA